GGAUUGUUUUUGGGCUACGAACUUAGCUAGGAAAUAUUUUGACAGUAUGACUCAUAUAAAACAGGGCUUGAUAAACGCUAACGAUAACUUAGCACUCGCUGCCUAAGAAAAGGCAGCCGUCCACCCGAACUGUGUCUACUGGGUUUGGGAGCGGGCGUCAGAAACAGUAGUACUACCGGCUGAGAGCGCCUGGUAUCAGUCGGGAAAUUAACAGGCUAGCAAGGUGGCUACCCUGUCCUUGGGGGAGCUGCCGCGCGAAAUUCAAAACAAGGACUGCGCUCGGAGAGACUCUGGCUGGCAUGCCUUCGGACGGUGGGUUCGACUCCCCCCGCCUCCACCA
rnacentral:tmRNA from 1 species